GAAAGCGUAACAGCUCACUGAUCUAGCGAUUCUGCGCUGAAAAUAUAACGGGGCUAAGAUACGCACCGAAGCUUUAGAUUCGUAUUUAUACGAGUGGUAGGAGAGCGUUCCAAACAGCGUUGAGGGUAUACCGGUGAGGAGUGCUGGAGCGUUUGGAAGUGAGCAUGCAGGCAUGAGUAGCGAUAAAAGCAGUGAGAAUCUGCUUCGCCGUAAACCCAAGGUUUCCUACGCGAUGCUCGUCAUCGUAGGGUUAGUCGGGACCUAAGUCGAGUCCGAAAGGGGUAGACGAUGGCAAAUCGGUUAAUAUUCCGAUACCGACAAUUGUUCGUUUGAGUGAUGGGGGGACGCAUAGAGUUAAUCGAGCUCACUGAUGGAAUAGUGGGUCGAAGGACGUAGGCUGAAACACAGGCAAAUCCGUGUUUCGUUAGGCCGAGAUCUUACAGGCUCUUCAAGGACUUCGGUCUGCGAGGAGAAUCGAUGAUACUGUUG
rnacentral:rRNA from 1 species